rnacentral:rRNA from 1 species
ACGAACGCUGGCGGCGUGCUUAACACAUGCAAGUCGAACGGAAAGGCCUGCUUUCCCUUGUGGAUUGCGGGUACUCGAGUGGCGAACGGGUGAGUAACACGUGAGUGAUCUGCCCCCAACUUGGGUAUAAGCCUGGGAAACUGGGUCUAAUUCCCGAUAGGACUGCAGGGUGGUGCCUGUGGUGGAAAACGAUUUUCUAGUGGUUGGGGAUGAGCUCGCGGCCUAUCAGCUUGUUGGUGGGGUAAUGGCCUACCAAGGCGGCGACGGGUAGCCGGCCUGAGAGGGUGGACGGACACAUUGGGACUGAGAUACGGCCCAGACUCCGACGGGAGGCAGCAGUGGGGAAUAUUACACAAUGGGCGGAAGCCUGAUGCAGCGACGCCGCGUGGGGGAUGACGGCCUUCGGGUUGUAAACUCCUUUCGACCGCGAGGAAGCCACCUGGUUGGAAGGGUGGUGACGGUAGUGGUAGAAGAAGCACCGGCUAACUACGUG